UCCGGGAAACUGGAGCUAAUACCGCAUACGCCCUUCGGGGGAAAGAUUUAUCGGGGAUAGAUGAGCCCGCGUUGGAUUAGCUAGUUGGUGGGGUAAAGGCCUACCAAGGCGACGAUCCAUAGCUGGUCUGAGAGGAUGAUCAGCCACAUUGGGACUGAGACACGGCCCAAACUCCUACGGGAGGCAGCAGUGGGGAAUAUUGGACAAUGGGCGCAAGCCUGAUCCAGCCAUGCCGCGUGAGUGAUGAAGGCCCUAGGGUUGUAAAGCUCUUUCACCGAUGAAGAUAAUGACGGUAGUCGGAGAAGAAGCCCCGGCUAACUUCGUGCCAGCAGCCGCGGUAAUACGAAGGGGGCUAGCGUUGUUCGGAAUUACUGGGCGUAAAGCGCACGUAGGCGGAUAUUUAAGUCAGGGGUGAAAUCCCAGAGCUCAACUCUGGAACUGCCUUUGAUACUGGGUAUCUUGAGUAUGGAAGAGGUGAGUGGAAUUCCGAGUGUAGAGGUGAAAUUCGUAGAUAUUCGGAGGAACACCAGUGGCGAAGGCGGCUCACUGGUCCAUACUGACGCU
rnacentral:rRNA from 1 species